AAGAGAUGGACAUAGUGCUUCAGUGGAAGGUGGCAUUUCUUGAAGGAAGCACUCCAUCUUUGGUGCCAGCCCCUGCUGCAGGAAGGAAGGCGAUGGCAGACACGGGCACAGGCACAGCAGACUGGGAUGCUGGGAAGGAUUCUCCAUUAGCCUGGCGUUCUGAAGUUGUGAAGCCCUCUGAGCAUUCUGCAGGCGUGUCUGCAGGGACGACCUCACCAACUCCUACCUUGGAUGCUGCACAAAAGGCCAGCUCCCAUGGCAGGGAUGAGUAGUGUGUCCCUGCUGACCCCUCAGGCUGAGCCCUGCUUUUGUGGGGUCCAUUCCUGGGAAAUGGAACUACUUUCUCUUAAGGUCCUCUGACAGGAAAGACCAAAGACAUGGCAGGCAGGAAAUUCCAGGACCCAUUAGAAAUCAUGUGGCAAAUGCUGAAGGAACGUCUGCAGAGAAGACAAGAAAUGAAAGGAGAGCCUGCGGAGAAAGAAGCAUUUCCCGGAGGAAGCAGUGGUUGCAUGCCAGCCUCAGCUCCAGGAAGGGAGGCCAUGCCAGGCACAGGCACAGGAGACUGGAAUCGUGACAUGGGUUUUCAGGAAGUCCUGAUGAAGGAUGGUUUGAAGUUCCUGGAGGAUGCUGGAGGCAAGUUUUCAUUCUGCCUUUCCUGAGUGAAUAAUCAGGAUCAAUGCAAAAAAAGCU